rnacentral:rRNA from 1 species
GUUGAACGCUGGCGGCAGGCUUAACACAUGCAAGUCGAGCGGGGAAGGGUAGCUUGCUACCUAACCUAGCGGCGGACGGGUGAGUAAUGAUUAGGAAUCUGCCAUUUAGUGGGGGACAACAUUCCGAAAGGAAUGCUAAUACCGCAUACGUCACCGGGAGAAAGCAGGGGAUCUACGGACCUUCCGCUAACGGAUUAGCCUAAGUCGGAUUAGCUAGUUGGUGGGGUAAAGGCCUACCAAGGCGACGAUCUGUGGCGGGUCGGAGAGGAUGAACCGCCACACUGGGACUGAGGCACGGCCCAGACUCCUACGGGAGGCAGCAGUGGGGAAUAUUGGACAAUGGGCGGAAGCCUGAUCCAGCCAUGCCGCGUGUGUGAAGAAGGCCUUUUGGUUGUAAAGCACUUUAAGCGAGGAGGAGGCUCUUCUAGUUAAUACCUAGGAUGAGUGGACGUUACUCGCAGAAUAAGCACCGGCUAACUCUGUGCCAGCCGCCGCCGUAAUAC